UCAUACGUGUGCUCUUCUGGUCGUCAAGUAUGAAAUUUGUCGUAAGGUAUAUGAUAAAUUUUGACAGCUACUCAUUUUGCGCCAUUAUUAUAUUUUGACAAUCUUUAUUUUUUGUAAGAAAACUGACACAACUAUUACUUUAUUCUA